rnacentral:rRNA from 1 species
ACUCAAAUGAAUAGACGGGGGCCCGCACAAGCGGUGGAGCAUGUGGUUUAAUUCGACGCAACGCGAAGAACCUUACCUGGGUUUGACAUGCGCAGGACAAGUGACGAAAGUUACUCUCCCUUCGGGGCUUGCGCACAGGUGCUGCAUGGCUGUCGUCAGCUCGUGUCGUGAGAUGUUGGGUUAAGUCCCGCAACGAGCGCAACCCUCGCCCUCUGUUGCUACCGGGUCAUGCCGGGCACUCUGAGGGGACUGCCCCGGUGAACGGGGAGGAAGGUGGGGAUGACGUCAAGUCCUCAUGGCCUUUAUGUCCAGGGCUACACACGUGCUACAAUGGUCAGGACAAUGGGUCGCUCCCUCGUAAGAGGUUGCCAAUCUCAAAAACCUGGCCCCAGUUCGGAUGGUCGGCUGCAACUCGCCGGCCUGAAGUUGGAAUCGCUAGUAAUCGGAGAUCAGCACGCUCCGGUGAAUACGUUCCCGGGCCUUGCACACACCGCCCGU